CCUACGGGAGGCUGCAGUGAGGAAUAUUGGUCAAUGGACGAGAGUCUGAACCAGCCAAGUAGCGUGAAGGAUGACUGCCCUAUGGGUUGUAAACUUCUUUUAUAUGGGAAUAAAAUGUUCCACGUGUGGGAUUUUGUAUGUACCAUAUGAAUAAGGAUCGGCUAACUCCGUGCCAGCAGCCGCGGUAAUACGGAGGAUCCGAGCGUUAUCCGGAUUUAUUGGGUUUAAAGGGAGCGUAGGUGGAUUGUUAAGUCAGUUGUGAAAGUUUGCGGCUCAACCUUAAAAUUGCAGUUGAAACUGGCAGUCUUGAGUACAGUAGAGGUGGGCGGAAUUCGUGGUGUAGCGGUGAAAUGCUUAGAUAUCACGAAGAACUCCGAUUGCGAAGGCAGUUCACUGGACUGCAACUGACACUGAGGCUCGAAAGUGUGGGUAUCAAACAGGAUUAGAUACCCUUGUAGUC
rnacentral:rRNA from 1 species